rnacentral:rRNA from 1 species
CAUGCAAGUCGAGGGGAAACGACAUCGAAAGCUUGCUUUUGAUGGGCGUCGACCGGCGCACGGGUGAGUAACGCGUAUCCAACCUGCCCAUCACUUGGGGAUAACCUUGCGAAAGUAAGACUAAUACCCAAUGAUAUCUCUAGAAGGCAUCUGAAAGAGAUUAAAGAUUUAUCGGUGAUGGAUGGGGAUGCGUCUGAUUAGCUUGUUGGCGGGGUAACGGCCCACCAAAGCAACGAUCAGUAGGGGUUCUGAGAGGAAGGUCCCCCACAUUGGAACUGAGACACGGUCCAAACUCCUACGGGAGGCAGCAGUGAGGAAUAUUGGUCAAUGGACGAGAGUCUGAACCAGCCAAGUAGCGUGCAGGAUGACGGCCCUAUGGGUUGUAAACUGCUUUUAUAAGGGAAUAAAGUGAGUCUCGUGAGACUUUUUGCAUGUACCUUAUGAAUAAGGACCGGCUAAUUCCGUGCCAGCAGCCGCGGUAAUACGGAAGGUCCGGGCGUUAUCCGGAUUUAUUGGGUUUAAAGGGAGCGUAGGCCGGAGAUUAAGCGUGUUGUGAAAUGUAGAUGCUCAACAUCUGCACUGCAGCGCGAACUGGUUUCCUUGAGUACGCACAAAGUGGGCGGAAUUCGUGGUGUAGCGGUGAAAUGCUUAGAUAUCACGAAGAACUCCGAUUGCGAAGGCAGCUCACUGGAGCGCAACUGACGCUGAAGCUCGAAAGUGCGGGUAUCGAACAGGAUUAGAUACCCUGGUAGUCCGCACGGUAAACGAUGGAUGCCCGCUGUUGGUCUGAAUAGGUCAGCGGCCAAGCGAAAGCAUUAAGCAUCCCACCUGGGGAGUACGCCGGCAACGGUGAAACUCAAAGGAAUUGACGGGGCCCGCACAAGCGGAGGAACAUGUGGUUUAAUUCGAUGAUACGCGAGGAACCUU